GGCAAGGUGGUCGAGUGGUUUAAGACGUAAGACUUGAAUCUGGCUUUUGGGGAUGAUUACCUGAAAUACGGUGAUUGUUUCUUAUCCAAACAGACGAUAUCUUAUACCUUCGGGUGCGCGUGUUCGAAUCACGUCCUUGUCG
rfam:Aspergillus luchuensis DNA, map: 6-7 R, contig: AA1_SCon_001, strain: RIB 2604.